CCCAAACAUAGCCUUUAGCAAUAAAAGUAUUAAAGGUGACGCCUGCCCAGUGAUAUAUUUAAACGGCCGCGGGAUCCUCCACCGUGCAAAGGUAGCAUAAUCACUUGUCCCCUAAAUAGCGACUAGUAUGAAUGGCUAAAUGAAGAUUUUCCUGUCUCUUGCAGCCAAUCUAUGAAACUGAUCUUUCAGUACAAAAGCUGAAAUAAGAACACAAGACGAAAAGACCCUGUGGAACUUUCAAGUGUCCCCCACAAGUAUGGGUAAAACACUUUUAGUUGGGGCAACUUUGGAAAAAAACAAAACUUCCAAAAUUAUACUAAGGUAGACAUACCUAAGUUAUCUUAAACGACCCAGUAUAACUGAUAAAAGAAAUAAGCUACCCCAGGGAUAACAGCGCCAUCCCCUCUUAGAGUCCCCAUCGAUGAGUGGGGCUUACGACCUCGAUGUUGGAUCAGGGCCCCCAAACAGUGCAGCAGCUGUUAAUGGUUUGUUUGUUCAACAAUUAAUGCCCUACGUGAUCUGAGUUAAGACCGGAGCAAUCCAGGUCG
rnacentral:rRNA from 1 species